rnacentral:lncRNA from 1 species
GAACACUGUAGCGCAAGAAAAAGCACUGUAGCUACCGGAAAAAAUUCAAAGUUGUCAGAAUUGAAAAAUAAAAAUAUGGAUAGGCUCGAAAUUCAAGGGCGAGCAGACGGUCCUGAAGAAAUUCAGACCGGAAAGUACUGUAGCUGCCGGAAAAGACAGUGUAGUCGCCGGAAAAAAAACUCAAAGUGAACGAAAAUAGGAUGGGUAGGGUCGGAAUUAGUAUCCGACCAAACUGUCGUGAAGGAGUCACCGGAAAAAUUGGCCGGAAAUGGGGUCACGCGCGCGGCGCGUGGGCUCACGCGCCUAGCUUCUGGUGGCGGAAUUCAAAGGGGAUCAGACUGUCCUGAAGAAAUUAAAGUACUGUAGCUGCCAGAAAAGUUACUGUAGUUGCCGGGAAAAACUCAAAGUUGUCGGAAUCGAACGAAAAUAGGAUG